AACCUGCCCCAUAGUCUGGGAUACCACUUGGAAACAGGUGCUAAUACCGGAUAAGAAAGCAGAUCGCAUGAUCAGCUUUUAAAAGGCGGCGUAAGCUGUCGCUAUGAGAUGGCCCCGCGGUGCAUUAGCUAGUUGGUAAGGUAAAGGCUUACCAAGGCGAUGAUGCAUAGCCGAGUUGAGAGACUGAUCGGCCACAUUGGGACUGAGACACGGCCCAAACUCCUACGGAGGCAGCAGCU
rnacentral:rRNA from 1 species